UACGUAGGGUGCGAGCGUUAAUCGGAAUUACUGGGCGUAAAGCGUGCGCAGGCGGUUUUGUAAGCCAGAUGUGAAAGCCCCGGGCUCAACCUGGGAAUGGCAUUUGGGACUGCAAGGCUUGAGUGCGGCAGAGGAGACUGGAAUUCCUGGUGUAGCAGUGAAAUGCGUAGAUAUCAGGAGGAAUACCGAUGGCGAAGGCAGGUCUCUGGGCUGACACUGACGCUCAUGCACGAAAGCGUGGGGAGCGAACGG
rnacentral:rRNA from 1 species